rnacentral:rRNA from 2 species
UACGUAGGGGGCAAGCGUUGUCCGGAUUUAUUGGGCGUAAAGAGCGUGUAGGCGGCUUUGCAAGUCCGUUGUGAAAACUCGAGGCUCAACCUCGAGACGCCGGUGGAAACUGCAAAGCUAGAGUCCGGAAGAGGAGAGUGGAAUUCCUGGUGUAGCGGUGAAAUGCGCAGAUAUCAGGAAGAACACCCGUGGCGAAGGCGGCUCUCUGGGACGGUACUGACGCUGAGACGCGAAAGCGUGGGGAGCGAACAGG